CCUACGGGUUGCACCAGUGGGGAAUAUUGCACAAUGGGCGCAAGCCUGAUGCAGCCAUGCCGCGUGUAUGAAGAAGGCAUUCGGGUCGUAAAGUACUUUCAGCGGGGAGGAAGGUGUUGUGGUUAAUAACCACAGCAAUUGACGUUACCCGCAGAACAAGCACCGGCUAACUCCGUGCCAGCAGCCGCGGUAAUACGGAGGGUGCAAGCGUUAAUCGGAAUUACUGUGCGUAAAGCGCACGCAGGCGGUCUGUCAAGUCGGAUGUGAAAUCCCCGGGCUCAACCUGGGAACUGCAUUCGAAACUGGCAGGCUAGAGUCUUGUAGAGGGGGGUAGAAUCCCAGGUGUAGCGGUGAAAUGCGUAGAGAUCUGGAGGAAUACCGGUGGCGAAGGCGGCCCCCUGGACAAAGACUGACGCUCAGGUGCGAAAGCGUGGGGAGCAAACAGGAUUAGAUACCCUCGUAGUC
rnacentral:rRNA from 1 species